GCCGAGGUAGCUCAGUCGGUAGAGCAGUAGACUGAAAAUCUACGUGUCCCCAGUUCGAUUCUGGGCCUCGGCACCA
rnacentral:tRNA from 3 species